UACGGAGGGUGCAAGCGUUAUCCGGAUUCACUGGGCUUAAAGGGUGCGUAGGCGGGCAGGUAAGUCCGUGGUGAAAUCUCUGAGCUUAACUCAGAAACUGCCAUGGAUACUAUUUGUCUUGAAUACUGUGGAGGUCAGCGGAAUAUGUCAUGUAGCGGUGAAAUGCUUAGAUAUGACAUAGAACACCAAUUGCGAAGGCAGCUGGCUACACAAAUAUUGACACUGAGGCACGAAAGCGUGGGGAGCAAACAGG
rnacentral:rRNA from 1 species